CAAACGACUCUCGGCAACGGAUAUCUCGGCUCACGCAUCGAUGAAGAACGUAGCAAAAUGCGAUACUUGGUGUGAAUUGCAGAAUCCCGUGAACCAUCGAGUUUUUGAACGCAAGUUGCGCCCGAAGCCUUUCGGUYGAGGGCACGUCUGCCUGGGCGUCACAC
rnacentral:rRNA from 1 species